rnacentral:rRNA from 1 species
AGGACGAACGCUGGCGGCGUGCCUAACACAUGCAAGUCGAACGGAGAUUUCAGCAAUGGAAUUUUAGUGGCGAACGGGUGAGUAACGCGUAGACAACCUGCCUUCUAGAUGGGGACAACACUGCGAAAGUGGUGCUAAUACCGAAUGUCGUAUUUAGUGCGCAUGCACUUGAUACCAAAGGUGGCCUCUGAACAUGCUACCGCUAGAAGAUGGGUCUGCGUCUGAUUAGCUAGUUGGUGAGGUAAUGGCUCACCAAGGCGACGAUCAGUAGCCGGUCUGAGAGGAUGAACGGCCACACUGGGACUGAGACACGGCCCAGACUCCUACGGGAGGCAGCAGUGGGGAAUCUUCCGCAAUGGACGAAAGUCUGACGGGGCAACGCCGCGUGAGUGAAGAAGGUUUUCGGAUCGUAAAGCUCUGUCUUUUAGGACGAAUGUAUUCUAUGUAAAUAAUGUAGGAUAAUGACGGUACUGAAGGAGGAAGCCACGGCUAACUACGUGCCAGCAGCCGCGGUAAUACGUAGGUGGCGAGCGUUGUCCGGAAUCAUUGGGCGUAAAGGGCGCGUAGGCGGGAUGAUCAGUCUGUCUUAAAAGUUCGGGGCUCAACCCCGUGAUGGGAUAGAAACUGUCAUUCUUGAGUGCAGGAGAGGAAAGUGGAAUUCCCAGUGUAGCGGUGAAAUGCGUAGAUAUUGGGAGGAACACCAGUGGCGAAGGCGACUUUCUGGACUGUGUCUGACGCUGAGGCGCGAAAGCUAGGGAAGUGAACGGGAUUAGAUACCCCGGUAAUCCUAGCCGUAAACGAUGGGUACUAGGGUGUAGAGGGUAUCGACCCCUUCUGUGCCGGAGUUAACGCAAUAAGUACCCCGCCUGGGGGAGUACGGCCGCAAGGUUGAA